CACGUAGGGCGCGAGCGUUGUCCGGAAUUAUUGGGCGUAAAGAGCUCGUAGGCGGCCUGUUGCGUCCGCUGUGAAAGCCCGGGGCUUAACCCCGGGUCUGCAGUGGAUACGGGCAGGCUAGAGGUAGGUAGGGGAGAAUGGAAUUCCCGGUGUAGCGGUGAAAUGCGCAGAUAUCAGGAGGAACACCGGUGGCGAAGGCGGUUCUCUGGGCAUGUCCUGACGCUGAGGAGCGAAAGUGUGGGGAGCGAACAGG
rnacentral:rRNA from 1 species